UACGUAGGGGGCAAGCGUUGUCCGGAAUCAUUGGGCGUAAAGAGCGUGUAGGCGGCCCGGUAAGUCCGCUGUGAAAGUCCAGGGCUCAACCCUGGGAUGCCGGUGGAUACUGUCGGGCUCGAGUCCGGAAGAGGAGUGUGGAAUUCCUGGGGUAGCGGUGAAAUGCGCAGAUAUCAGGAGGAACACCAAUGGCGAAGGCAGCACUCUGGGCAUUACCUGACGCUGAGGAGCGAAAGUGUGGGGAGCGAACAGG
rnacentral:rRNA from 1 species